UUUCUAGAGAUAAGGUCAAAGAGACAUAUCUUGGGGUGGCCAAUUUCAGGCCCCCACAAAACAAAAAUACUGAUAUAACUAACCAAUUUGGGAAGUAUAAAGAGAGAAGAAUGGCGGGACAAGGAAUAAGUAAGCUCUUUCCAUCAUUUUUUUUACAAUGGGGAGUCCAGAGAGAGCAUCCAAGGAGGAUGUUAUAGACUGAAUGCUAUGUCCUCCCAAAUUCCUAUGUUGAAGUGCUGACCCCCAAUAUGAUGGUAUUUGGAGAUGGGGCUUAUGGGAGAUAACAAGGGUUAGAUGAGGUCACAAGGGUGGGGUCCUUAUGACAGGAUUAGUGACCUUAGAAGAAAAGAUAGCAGAAAGCUCACUCUCUCUCUCUCUGCCAUAUGAGGACACAGCAAGCAAGGCCAGGAAGAAAACCCUCACCAGAAACCAGAUGAGCUGGAACCUUGACCUCGCACUUCUCAAGCCUCCAUAACUGUGAGAGACAUUGAAAGAGAUGAAGACAUGGAUUACAAAAUCAUGGAAACACGUAUGGAUCUUGGGCCUAGCGGACAGGUAACAGGCAGUGAGAAACCAGGCAUCUCAGACUCAAAAGCUGGAAACCAUGUGAUUCAAAGAAAAUAUCUGCCAAAAACUAUCUCUUGCAAAAUUAGGAAGCCGAUCGAACAGCUUUGAACACACGCCAACCAAGUCUUGAUGCUCUAGGCAAAGUAACUGGAAAAGAUAAUCAGUGUUUGCUGCCUUUUAUUGACUGUUUUUAGGGAGCUGUUACCAAAGAAGAAAGGGAAAGAAAAAUACCGUAGGAAAGAACUGGCUGGUUUGAAAGCAGAGUUAGAAGGAAGAGAGCCAAGAAAUUUGGGGUCUCUCAAGGCAACUAAUUCUGUAUCCCAAAUAAAAAGUGAUAAGAUUGGGGGGGAAAAAACCUCGCUCAUAGAGUUCCUAGUUAAACCAAAGGAUUUAGCCUUAGUGUAGAGAUCGGAUGAAGAUGUUGUCUUCCCAGACAAGACUAUCAUUUCAAAUGAAUUUGAGAUAAACUCCACUAAUUUGAGAGAGAUGCAUGGGAAUUAAGGAUGCAAAAUAAGAUCUCUGGACGUAGUUAUGGGCAGAGGGAACUAACCAGAGCAAAUGAAAUCAGAAGCUGAAUACUUUACUUAGAGACUCGUAUUCUCAAAUAAGCUGUGAGGUGGCCUGAAAAAGGGUUAUGACAGUAAAACAACCACCAGGCCUCCAAUCUUACAGGGCAGGAAGUGACUGCCUAUGCAGCAGCCAGAAAGGGAGAGAAUUAACCCCCCAUCACUGUAGCAGUGGGAAGGUAUCUGACACAGAUACAGUACUUAAAGUCAUAAAGCCAACCAGGAAAAGAAAUACAUAGCCCAUACUGGAAGACAGAGUGGGUGGGUGUUUUUUUCGCAGCAGUAAGUUAGUAGACGCUUGUCUAAAGUUGGCAAAUGAAGAAAUAAAGUUAAAAGUACAUCUUUAUGGUAGUAACUUUCAGGAGAACUAAAACUGUGAGAUUAUGGGGGCAAAGUAGCGGAGGCGACCAUUUAUUUUUCGUUUUAUGUCCUUCUCUUCUGCUUAAAAUAAAACUAAUCAGUUUUGAUACAUCAUACAAGGAGACAUCACACAGCAAUUACUAAACGAGACGGAGGUGUGCCAAAAAACCAUUGAGUGAGAAAAGCUAUUGCACACCAGCAUGACAGCCAAAUAUGUUUUUAAAAUGUAUAGAUCUAGAGGUGGACAGAUGGAAGAAGAUUGAUGGAUGGGUGGAUAAUAGACAGACAGACAGACAGACAGACAAAGAAGCUAUAGACACACAAACUUGUUUCUGAGUAGAAUACCAUGAAGGAUACACACCAAACUAUUCCCAAUUUCUUUUGGAUAUAAGGUGAGGGGCAGGGCCUUGGAAACUGAAACCCACCCUCAAUUAUUUUAGUACCUAUUUUCUUCUACUAAAUUUCAAACUGCAAACCGUAGAUUCAUUGAAUGACAUGCUACUGCUUUCAGAAGGUUACUCAAAACCAUGAAGAUUUGUAUUAUGACAAUGUUAUUGCUUGGACUUCUAAUUCUGCCUUUAAAGAAAUUGCUUUUGCCUGGUAAUCUCCUUUCCGGUUCGUUCUAGAGGUUGUUAGGCGCUUUCACCAUUCUCAAGGCCCUGUCACAGAUAAGGUUAGUUUCUCUGAUAAGGAAAAACCUUAGGAAAAUAAUUACGAAUUUAUAAAUAAUUAUGAAUUUGUAAACAAAAGAGAAGCGAGAGAGAGAAGGAAGGACCUUUCCAGAGAAAUUAUAAAAGCGAUUUCCAUGAUUAAAAGGUCUAAGACCAGUACAGCAAGAGGAAGCUGCUUGCUGCUGUCAACGUCUAGGUUUUACUGGUUGGCUCAGAUCUGACAUCCUUUCAGUUUCUCCUCAAUACCUCAGAUCCCUACCAUCCUUUCUUUGAAGAGGACCCCUUAAACCCCUGAGCACUCGCCCUUCUCCUUCAGACCUCAGACCUGCGCGCUCCUCACGGGGGUCCCUUUCUUCUGCAUCUCCCCACGCCGUGCUUCCCGGGGUCUUUAGGAGCCCAUUGGAUGCCCCCAGUUCCCCGCCUCCUCCCCGUCCUGUCCGUCCAGAUGUUGUACAAGACCUAUAAUUCCGGCGGGACAGCUCCAGUCCGGGCCCCUCUCCAGGGACACAUCUCACCUGAUCUCCCCAGCCCCAUGUCUGGCCCCAGGGACCCAGACCUGCAGCUCCGCCGGAGGAGCAGCAGACAGGCGCGCCCCUCGGGGAAGGAGUGGAGGAGAGGGCGCCGAGCCGGAGUGGAGGCUCCGGGGAACUCUGCACCCAGCGUUGGACCGGCCGCUCAGAGCCGUCUCAGCCGGUCUUUCACAGCGAGGGCGUGAGUCGUUUCUUUUUCCGCAUCCUGGAGCCUUUUCGGUUUCGUUUUCUCGCCUCAGAAUACUGAUCUCGGUCGGUAGGUCAGCCCAUCCCUCCGUUCACACUGAGAAUUUCAAGGGGGUAGUACAGCAAAGGGCUCCAGGCACUUAAUCCCACGUGCAGAAGUGCUGAGAUUCAGGGUGGUCGUGUGGGCCCCAACGGUGGAGUUGGGUAGUAAAUGGAGAGAAUUGGAAGCCAGCAGUUGUAUGCUCAAAAAAAGGAAAUGGUGACUUGUCCACAAUGGGAAGAGCCCAGAAAAAGCUUUCUUCUCAGAAGCCAGAAUAUCAAGUCAUUUUUAAAAGGUGGAGGCAUUGCUCACUUCUGUUAGUUUUUUUUCUUUUUUAACAAUUCUGUGUUUGUCAAUGGUGAUGACAUUGAGGAAAAAAACAAAAGAAUCUGAAACAUGACCUGUGAUUAAGUCGUAAAUUCAUCUUCUGUCAGUUUUUUGCUAGUAUCUGAUACUUACUGGAGCUAUGUCUCAUAGGAACACGUUUGCUAGCAGCAGAAAAUUAGGCUUUAUUGUCAAAGCAUUUACUGAGCUUUUUUAUGGCUAAGCAAUAUGCUGAGCCCUUAAUAUGUAUUAUCAGAUUUAAUCAUUACAAAAGUCCCAUAAGGUACAUACUAUAAUUGUUGACGUUUUAUGAGUGAGGUAAAUAAGACCUAGAGAGGUUAAAUUAUUUGUCCACGGUCCUCCAGCUAGUAAAUGGUAACCAAAAUUUUGAAAUUUGCUCUAACUUCAAAUAUCCUUUUCUCAGCACGCUGUUCUCUGUAUCUAUUAAAUUAUCUCAGAGAAGUACUUUAAAUGCUACAGUGUUAGUGCUCCUCCCACAAAGCACGUGUGAUUUAAUUGUGAUUUUUCUUUUGAUUGUUACGGAAAUGGGCCCUACAAGUUCGUAUUGUAAACGAGAGUCUCUUGUUGUUUUGUCUUUUAAUGAUGUAGAUUUAUCAGGUAGGGAUUCCUUAGAUGUUAACUCCACUCUUCCUACUUUCCACCCCAAAGUGCAUACACAAUACACAUAAGAAAAUUCUACUCCAAAUUCAUAUCUGGUUCUCUUCCACUUUAACAAUUUAUUCUCAUGGCCCCAACCCGGACUUCAUUCAGAAACUUGAGAAUCAUAAACUCCAUUUUCACUUUUCAGAACCCUCCCUUUUCUCCCAAUUUCUCAGACUCCUUGGGAGCCUCAUGUUAUUGCCUCCCCAGGCUCAAUCAACUCCAUGAGCAUUCACCCAACCUUUCUCUCAUUAACACCCUCGACUGCUUCCUGCACUGGCUUUCCUCUCUACCUGCAAUUUGAUAACCUGGAUCAAUCAAACCAGCAUUUUCCUGCGCCAGGACAUUGAGAGAAAUUGUCUAAUAUUUGUCACCUCAAAUUCAUUGUUUAUGACCACAAUUCCCUUUUUUUUUUUCACAUUGGCCCUUAAAACUCUGCAACAUUUUACUGAUUUCUUCAAGUCCUCUCAGCAUAUACAACAUCUGCUGUUUCAAAGAGAAUCCUUGAACUGUCUGACACCUUCAUCUAUAUUCUUACUUUUAGUCUAAGAAGACUGUGUGGUGCUUUAUACACAAAACAACUAACCCCCUUUCAUCUGGAUUUGAUUUCCUCCAGCUUCCUCAAGAAUCUCACCCCAUUAUCCUUUAAUUUCCUGUAUCGUUAACCACUCCCUGUCUAUUGGUGUGAUAGGCUGAAAAAUGGUCCCCCAAAGAUGUCCAUGUUCUAAUCCUCCAACCUGUGAAUAUGUCACCUUACAGAGCAAAAAGAACUGUGCAGAUGUGAUUAAGCUGGGAAUCUUGAGAUGGAGAAAUUACCCUGGAUUUUCUAGAUGGACUCGUGUAAUCACAAGUUCUUCUCCUUAUAAAAGAGAAGAACUGUUAAGCAAAAACGAACCAGAACUUGAUGAUAUGGGAAAUUCUCAGCCUAUCCAGAUUGCAAGAGAUGCUAAAAUUAGGAAAUUCACUGUCAGGAAGGCAUACUCUGAUGAGCAAGCCAAGAAUAUGGCUGAAGAAUCUUGUGCUAACACCUCAAAAAGAUCAAAAGGUAAGAGUAAUCCAUUACACAGAGGGCUCGUGAAGAAAUUAGGCAUGUGGCCUGUGGAUCCCUUCAGACUUCUCAGCAAAAGUCAGGAAUAUCAACAGGAUUUUUAGGAAAGACAUAUGGAUGAGCCUCUUGUCCAAUGGAGUGAAUCCCUUGACUACUCAGGAGAUCCAAAAGGUAUCUAAGGAAGUUGUAUCAGUAAAAACACUGCCAGCUUGGACUGAAAGGGACAGAGAGAAAUGAAAGAAGGCUGUAAAACUCCCAAAAUUUUCAAAGCAUGAAACAAUCUGUUAAACUACUUAGCUGCAAACAUGGGCUACCUUUCAUGAAAAAGGAAGGAUGACUCCAAGGGGAGAGCCUCAAGCCCAGACAGCAGAGCCCAGAGCCACGAAGGAUUAUUCUCAGGCCUUGAAAUCUAAUGGAGUUUGCCUUGUUGGAUUUUGAAAUUUCUUGGGACCAGUGACAACUUUUUUCUUUCCAUAUUCUUCCUUUUUGAACAGGGAUGUCUAGACCUGGUACCCUAUUCCUAUCCCACCGUUGUAUUUUGGGAGAAGAUAACUUGUUUUCUAGCUUCAAACAUUCACAGCGAAGAGGAAUUUUGCCUCAGGAUGGUUCAGACCCAAAGUCUCAACCAUACCUGAUUUAAAUAAUUUAGAUGAUGAGAUUCGGGUCUAUUGAGCUGAUGUGAUUUAGGUAAGAUUUUGGACUUAAGUUGAUACUGUUAUGCCUAGAAGCUUUGAGGAACUUUGGAAUGGGCUGAAUGUGAAAUAGAAACAUGAAAUAGAUGUGAAUAUUUGGGGGCAGACAGUGGACAGUACUAGACAACUAAAUGGCCCCAAACAUGUCCCUUAAUCCCUAGAACCUGUGAAUGUUACCUUACAUGGCAAAAGGAAAUUUCCAUAUGUGAUUAAGGAUUUUGAGAUGGAGAGAUUAUCCAGGAUGGGCCAAAUACAGUCUCAAGAAUCCUUAGAAGAAACAGGGUGGAGGUUAGAGGGGAGAGAAGAUGUUAUGCUGGUGGCUUAUAGAUAGAGGAUGGCGCCACAAGCCAAGGAUUGCAGGCUCCCUAUAGAUGAUGGAAAAAGCAAGGAAAUGGGUUUUCCCCUUAACGCCUAUAGAAGUAAUGCCACCCUGCUAAUAUCUUGAUUUUGGACUGUUGAUUUCCAGAAUUGUAAGAGAACAAAUUUGUGUGUGUGUUUUUUUUUAAAUGUUUUAUUUUUUUCCUUUUUUCUCC